UACGUAGGGGGCAAGCGUUGUCCGGAAUCAUUGGGCGUAAAGCGUGUGUAGGCGGCCCGAUAAGUCCGCUGUGAAAGUCCAGGGCUCAACCCUGGAAUGCCGGUGGAUACUGUCGGGCUCGAGUCCGGAAGAGGCGAGUGGAAUUCCUGGUGUAGCGGUGAAAUGCGCAGAUAUCAGGAGGAACACCGAUGGCGAAGGCAGCUCGCUGGGACGGUACUGACGCUGAGACGCGAAAGCGUGGGGAGCAAACAGG
rnacentral:rRNA from 1 species